rnacentral:rRNA from 1 species
CUGCGGCAGGCUUAUACAUGCAAGUCGAGGGGCAGCAGGUCUGUAGCAAUACAGAUGCUGGCGACCGGCAAACGGGUGCGGAACACGUACAGAACCUUCCUUCGAGCGGGGAAUAGCCCAGAGAAAUUUGGAUUAAUACCCCAUAGUAUACUGAAGAGGCAUCUCUUUGGUAUUAAAGAUUUAUCACUUGAAGAUGGCUGUGCGUCUGAUUAGGUAGUUGGCGGGGUAAAGGCCCACCAAGCCUGCGAUCAGUAACUGGUGUGAGAGCACGACCAGUCACACGGGCACUGAGACACGGGCCCGACUCCUACGGGAGGCAGCAGUAAGGAAUAUUGGUCAAUGGACGAAAGUCUGAACCAGCCAUGCCGCGUGAAGGAUGAAGGUCCUCUGGAUUGUAAACUUCUUUUAUAUGGGACGAAAAAAGGGUUUUCUAACUCAACUGACGGUACCAUACGAAUAAGCACCGGCUAACUCCGUGCCAGCAGCCGCGGUAAUACGGAGGGUGCAAGCGUUAUCCGGAUUCACUGGGUUUAAAGGGUGCGUAGGUGGGUUGGUAAGUCAGUGGUGAAAUCCCCGAGCUUAACUCGGGAACUGCCAUUGAUACUAUCAGUCUUGAAUACCGUGGAGUCAGCAGAAUAUGUCAUGUAGCGGUGAAAUGCUUAGAUAUGACAUAGAAUACCAAUUGCGAAGGCAGCUGGCUACCCGAAUAUUGACACUGAGGCACGAAAGCGUGGGGAUCAAACAGGAUUAGAUACCUGGUAGUCACGCCNUAACUAUGGAUACUCGACANNCGCGAU